UGAAUAGACGACUGCUUCAAUAGCAGGAAAUUUACUUGACUAGAGAAAUCGACUUGACUCCGUCACUUCAUAGUUGAGUCGGCUGGAGAGCAGAAGUGAGCUUCGGCGACCUUCUCCCAGUUUGUACUGUUUUAAAGUUAUUUGAAUAGUGGAUUUAGUCGCCAGGGGCAGACACUCUGUUCCCUGAGCAUUUGUUUGAUUUUCAAAAGCGUCCAAGACGCUUUUUAUUUUGGGCUUUAAGCCUAGUGCUCGUCCUCGCCCGCCAGUAACUGGUAGCUAAACGGACUCAAGGGGAAUAUUUCCGGCCUACCUGCGUGCAGUUUAGGCACGAUCAGGCAGAGUACCGGGCCGCCGACACCCCUCCGCACCUAUAAUCCGGCGAACAUUAAGGAGAGCAACGUCGACGAUUGGCCACGAAGAAGCACUGACACCGAAAAAGCCUGCGCAGCGCUUCAAACAUUUCAGGAGCGUACCCAGUACAAAACACGCAAGCCGUCCCCUAACACGGACAUCAAAUUGUAGACGAUCUUCGUCUUGUGUUGUUGCUCAAAUCAAGAUGUCCCCUUAGGAUUAGAAAUUCCAGGGAGGAACCAGCACCCGCCACCCUGAAUUUAUAUCGACGGUGAUGAAAUCGAGGCGGUUGAAGAAUUUGUGUACUUGGGCUCACUGGUGACCGCCGACGACAUCAGCAGAGAAAUUCAGAGGCGCAUUGUGGCAAGAAAUCGUGCUUACCUUGGACUCCGCAAAACUCUACGAUCGAAUAGAGUUCGCCAUAACACGAAGUUAACUAUCUUCAAAACUGUGAUUAGACCGGUCGUCCUCUAUUGGCACGAAACAUGGACCCUACGUGCAGAGGACCAACGCGCCCUUGGAGUUUUCGAACGGAAGGUGUUGCGUACCAUCUACGGCGGAGUGCAGAGCUGCAUCAGCAGCUGAGAGAACCAACCAUCGUCCACACCGCGAAAAUCGGGAGGCUACGGUGGGCGGGAUACGUCAUCAGGAUGUCGGAUAGCAACCCGACUAAAAUGGUUCUCGAGAGUCAUCCGACCGGUACAAGAAGACGUGGUGCGCAGCGAGCUAGGUGGGUCAACCAAGAGGAGGACGAUCUGCGGACUGUGAGUGAGUGUGCAUGUCUAGUUUUACAAACUAUAUAUUACUUCGUCUCGCAUCUCUUCAAUGGCUCUUUCAAACUUAUUUUUCAAAAUCUUCCUCUCUGUAAAAAAAUAAAAGAACAAUUACGAUUUAUAUUAACUAUUGAAACAACAAUAAUAAGAAAACAUACACAACUAUAAACUCUUACCUACUUCUUUUAAAUGGGCGGCAUUGAUUUUGUUGAUAAUAUUCAAGCCCCUUUUCGUAGCAUUAUGUAACUGCUUUAAAAAAAAAGAUUGUUUGCUUGUGCUGAAAUGAUAUUUUCUUCAUUAAUAAUAAAUUAUAACUAUGUUCGCA